rnacentral:rRNA from 1 species
UGGGGAAUUUUGGACAAUGGGCGAAAGCCUGAUCCAGCAAUGCCGCGUGUGUGAAGAAGGCCCUCGGGUUGUAAAGCACUUUUGUCCGGAAAGAAAUCCUUGGCUCUAAUACAGUCGGGGGAUGACGGUACCGGAAGAAUAAGCACCGGCUAACUACGUGCCAGCAGCCGCGGUAAUACGUAGGGUGCAAGCGUUAAUCGGAAUUACUGGGCGUAAAGCGUGCGCAGGCGGUUUGCUAAGACCGAUGUGAAAUCCCCGGGCUCAACCUGGGAACUGCAUUGGUGACUGGCAGGCUAGAGUAUGGCAGAGGGGGGUAGAAUUCCACGUGUAGCAGUGAAAUGCGUAGAGAUGUGGAGGAAUACCGAUGACGAAGGCAGCCCCCUGGGCCAAUACUGACGCUCAUGCACGAAAGCGUGGGGAGCAAACAGGAUUAGAUACCCUGGUAGUCCACGCCCUAAACGAUGUCAACUAGUUGUUGGGGAUUCAUUUCCUUAGUAACGUAGCUAACGCGUGAAGUUGACCGCCUGGGGAGUACGGUCGCAAGAUUAAAACUUAAAUGAAUUGAC